rnacentral:rRNA from 1 species
UACGUAGGGUGCGAGCGUUGUCCGGAAUUAUUGGGCGUAAAGGGCUCGUAGGCGGUUUGUCGCGUCGGGAGUGAAAACAUCCAGCUUAACUGGGUGCUUGCUUUCGAUACGGGCAGACUUGAGGUAUGCAGGGGAGAAUGGAAUUCCUGGUGUAGCGGUGAAAUGCGCAGAUAUCAGGAGGAACACCGGUGGCGAAGGCGGUUCUCUGGGCAUUACCUGACGCUGAGGAGCGAAAGCGUGGGGAGCAAACAGG